rnacentral:lncRNA from 1 species
CUUUUAUGUCUAGUCCUUCGCCCUUGCUUCCACUUGUGAUAUGGUGCAUGCCUUUUAUCCCAAUUAAAGCCAUAUCAUUUAUAGUGUAGGUUAUUCUUCUAUGUUUCACUGCCUUUAUAGAUCCAAUCUUUUGACAGAGAUAAUUAUAAAAUGGAAGUGAUUUAUUUUUAUCCUUGAACAUUUUUAUUGCAACCAAUUGGAUCAAUCCGUA